UUUUAGGUCAGGCAAUUGCUGCACAAGUCCUAACCCAUCUCCUAAUUUCUUUUUGAGUAGUGAUAUAUGGAAUACUGGGUGCACAUGAGAGUCUGCAGGUAGAUCAAGAUGACAAGCUACCUUUCCCUUCUUUUUUUUUUUUUUUUUUGGUAUCUGAAAAGGGCCAUAAUACUUAGCAUAUAGCUUAUAGAUGCUUCUAGAUGCUACUGAUUGCUGCUUAUAAGGAUACAAUUUGAGAAAUACCCAAUCUCCUUCAUUGAACUCCAUCUCAGUCCGAUUUUUGUUUGCAUAUAGUUUCAUUCUAGCUCUAGCUUGAGCCAAAGUCUCCUCAAGUAUGUGAUCCAUCUUGUUGUCUUUCAUGCAACAGGUCUUCUACAGCUGCUACAUUUGUUUGUUGGUAAUGGCCAAGUGCUAGCUAUGGGAGUUGGAUUCCAUAGAGGGCUUGAAAAGGUGUCAUCUUGAUUGCUAAAUGAAAGGUGGUGUUAUACCACCAUUCUGCAAGAGAGAGCCAUUUUAUCCACUGCUUGGGUUGUCUAAAUGUCAUACACCUCAAAAACAUUUCAAAGCACUUAUUCAACCUUUCUUUCUGACUCAAUUGCAGCUGUUUUCCCAUUAAUUUAAAUAACUCCUGCCUAAACCUACUAGUGAAUACCUUGUCCCUAUCGAAUAUAAUGCUCUGUGGUUUUCCAUGCAACUUGAAAAUAUUAUCUAGGAACACCUUGGCAAUGAUGCUAGCUGUGAAGGGAUGAGAAAGCGAUAAAUCUGUCAGCCACCACCAAUAUAACACUUAUCUCCAGAUUUAGGAAGUCUUUCGAUGAUGUCCAUUGAUAUGGCUCCAUGAAUGUUGUGGCUCAGGUAGAGGCUGCAAUAAACUCGGAUAAGGUACAUGUUCGCCUUGACGUCUUUGACAAGUAUCACACUGAAGUACUUCAUUCUUUACAUUCCUAGCUAAUAGAAAUAUUGCUUUCCUCUAAGUAUACUGGCUUGAAAUCCAUAGUGUCCCACAUUUCGUGAAGAGUAUACAUUCUGAAUCAAUUUUUCCAGAAUAUCACCUCAUGUUCCGACAUAUAACUUGUCUUUAUACCUCAACAGGCUAUUCUGGUAUUUGUAGUCUGAGUCAUUAUUAGGGUUCAAUAGUAGAGCAUUGAUUUUAUCUCUUGCCCAGUCAUCAUCCUGGUAACUCUCCAGUAUUUCCUGCAUCCAGAUAGGGAUAAAUGUAGAAAUGGCUCAUAUUGCCCUUCAGCUUGUUCCUUUCUAGAUAAAUCAUCAGCCACUAAAUUUUUUGCUCUUCUAUAUUGUAUCUCAUAAUCCAAUCCCAGUAAUUUAGUAAGCCAUUUCUGUUGCAAUGGGUUUGUUAUCCUCUGCUCCAAUAGGAAUUUUUGUGAUUGGUGAUCCCAUUUGUUCACUACAGUAGCCAAAUUUAGGAGUUCUUUCUCAUAAAUAGAUAGGCCCAUAUUCCUAACUCCAAUGGCCUUACUCAGGAAAGCUAAAGGUCUCUUGUUCUGCAUGAGUACUACCCAAAUCCCUCCAUAGCUUGCACCCGUUUCAAUCACAAAUGGCUACUCAAAAUCAUGUAGAGCUAGCACUACUGUGUUGCACAUAGCAUGCUUAAGUUUAUGAAAUUCAAUGUCUGUUGCCUGAUUACCUUAAUCCAAAGAAACCCAUCCUUCUCGAGUAAUUCAGUUAGUGGCUUGGUUAAGGAUCCAUAUCCUCUUAUAAUUUCCUAUAGUACCCGUAAGUCCCAAGAAUCCCCUUAAUUGUUUCACGUUUGAUGGCUUGGGUACUGUAGCAUGGUUUCUAUCUUUUUGGGGUCAGCACACACAGCUUCUUGUGAUAUAAUAUGGCCUAGGUACUCUAUUUGCCUUUCGCCAAAAGAACACUUCUCUUUGCAAAUAAUCGGUUUUUCCACAAAUUCUCAAAUACCUUUUUAGGUGUUGGCAGUGUAUAUAGAUGUCAUUGCUAUAAACUAGUAUAUCAUCAAAAAAUACCAAAACAUAUCUUCGCAACCGUUCCUUAAAAAUCUCAUUCAUCAGACUUUGGAAAGUGGCAGGAGUAUUUGUUAGCCUAUACAUUUUAUUCAUUUUAUACAUUAGAGCGGUGGACGAACGAGUUACUAUGCAUUUUAUUCAUUUUUUAACUAUUAAUCAUCAUAUUUUGUGAACAAUGAGAGCAGCCUGAUAAUGUUAAUGUUUGGACGUGUAGGGUAAAAUGGUUCCAGAGCGAGCAUCAAAGGACCACAACCACGGGAGUGAACGCACUUUCCAUUUCAUCCCAACACUGAGGGUGUCUAGUGAAGCGGGGAUGGGUGGACUAAAAUUUGGUCCACCAGAAACAAUUUUCACUCCAUCAGUUCUUGUUGAUGUUCCGAUCGAUUAUGUAAACCUUGACGAUGUCGUUGAUGACUUGGUUAACAUGGAGAAUGUGAAAUCUUCUAGUAGGCGAUUGUCGAGGGCAAAAAAACGACAAUGCAUGAAGCAGAUGGCAUCAGAAGGACCGAGCAUUCGCAAGCAGUAAUUGUGUGUUUUGAGGAAAGCUGUAACCACAUCUUUUUGUCGGACGCUGGAGAUGGCGGAAUCUGCCAUUAAACUGAUUUUUGAAUGGGCAUAUAUAUUCUCCAUCAAUUCUAACAUACAUUACAUGAUUUUUAACAUGAUUUUUGACAGAACAUUGGUCUUUUGGACUAGCUUUUGAAGUCUCAAUUGGAGUCCAGUGUAAAUGAUAUUGACACUUAAUUUUAAACCUAUUGCUAUGUAUGACGGCUUGGGUAUAUAUUUUGAGAACAUAUUAAUGCCUGGAAGAAGUAUUUGCUGAUUUGUG
rnacentral:lncRNA from 1 species